rnacentral:sRNA from 1 species
CGAUAUCAAGUUUCAUAUCUCUCUUUUGCAUAUACUCAAACACCACCAAUGCUGUCUCUACAUUCCCAUUAUUACAAAGCCCAUCUAAUAAAAUGUUGUAUGUCAUAAUAUCGGGAUGCACACCAUCAGAAACCAUCUGUUUGAAAACCAUUUGGGC